rnacentral:hammerhead_ribozyme from 1 species
AUCCACCCGACAAGUCCUGAACAAAACGAAACACGUUUCGUGGAU